rnacentral:rRNA from 1 species
GUGUCAGCAGCCGCGGUAAUACGUAGGGGGCGAGCGUUGUCCGGAAUUACUGGGCGUAAAGAGCGUGUAGGCGGAUAUUUAAGUCAGAUGUGAAAACUAUCGGCUCAACCGAUAGACUGCAUCUGAUACUGGGUAUCUUGAGGGUAUGAGAGGGCAGUGGAAUUCCUAGUGUAGCGGUGAAAUGCGUAGAUAUUAGGAGGAACACCAGUGGCGAAGGCGACUGCCUGGCAUACAACUGACGCUGAGACGCGAAAGCGUGGGGAGCAAACAGGAUUAGAUACCCGCGUAGUCC